UCAAACUUGGUCAUUUAGAGGAAGUAAAAGUCGUAACAAGGUUUCCGUAGGUGAACCUGCGGAAGGAUCAUUACAGGGUUAUGCCAGAUAAUAUUUUCUACUCGAAAAAUUAUCUAGGCAGCCAUGAUCAUCCCCUUUGUGCACUUAUUGAUACCAUGGGCUUUGGCAGACCUCAAAAAUCUGCCAAAAGACCCUUUGCAAUAAACUCUUUUUUAGUCUGAACAAUUUUGACUGAAUUUUGGGUUACAGUAUAAUGUAUAAUACAACUUUCAACAACGGAUCUCUUGGCUCUCGCAUCGAUGAAGAACGCAGC
rnacentral:misc_RNA from 1 species